GGGGAGGUGCCGGAGUGGACGAUCGGGGCCGCCUGCUAAGUGGUUGCAGGGGUAACUCUCUGCCCAGGGUUCGAAUCCCUGCCUCCCCG
rnacentral:tRNA from 1 species